rnacentral:tRNA from 5 species
GCCGAUGUAGCUUAGUGGUAAAGCAGCGGUUUUGUAAACCGCCGACAGCAGUUCGAUUCUGCUCAUCGGCU